AUAUAAAACCGAAGCUUUUGAAGCUCCCACAAUUUUCCACGUCAGCACAACAUUAAAAAAAUAAUAAUAAAACAUAAAACAAUAAAACCAAAAAAAAAAAAAAAAAAAAACCGAAACCUAAGAAAACCAUUAUAAACCUCUCUUUUCGCAAGCGCCUCUCUAUUUCUCUCUCUCAGUCGCUCGCUCUCUUCAUCCAUCAGCAAAAGGGUCUGAUUUUCUCUCUCUCAGUCACUCUCUCUCUCCAUCCAUCAGCAAAAGGGUCUGCCUCCAAACCUCGCUCGGUCUCUUCAUCCAUCGGCAGAAGGGUCUGCCUCCAAACCAAACAAAGUAGGUGAUCCUCUAGAGAAGGUUGCACUUAAGGGAAUUGAUUGGAGUUAUAAGUCAGAUGAAAAGGUCAUGCCAAAAAGGGGAAGUGGCAAUGCUAUUCAGAUUGUUCAGAGACACCACUUUGCAUCCCACUUGAAGAGAAUGGCAGUUGUUGUUCGCAUUCAGGAGGAAUUUUUUGCUUUUGUGAAGGUCUAUUUUAUUCGUGAACCCUGCAAUUUGUAUGCAUGCAUAUAUGGAUUAGGAAUGCUAUUUUACUUGAUGCUUGCAUAAUCAGGUAGCUUAUAAGAAAGAAGUUAUUGUGUAUUUUAUGGUAAAAUUUUGAAAAUUUUAUAGGUAGAUACGAAAAUGUAUUUGGGAAUAUGCCAUGAUAUAUAACGUCAAGAUUUUUCUUUAGAAAAAGAAGUUCCCAACCUAUUUUGUAUUCUAGAGUUGAUUGAAUUGAGUUUUUGUGCACACACUAAGAUAAUCAAAUUGAAUAUAUGUUUUUGUGUGGAAACUGAGCUAUUGGUCAAUUUGAAUUGUUUUUGUUUGGAAACUGAGCUAUGGGUUUGAAUUUGUUUAGUGGAAACUGAGUGAGGUGGAGUUAUCAGCUUGCUUCCUUUGUUUUUGUGUGGAAACUGAGUUAUAAUUUAUUUUUUACCCCUGCCUAUUUUGUAUUCUAGAGUUGAUUGAAUUGUAGUUUUUUGCAAACACUUAGAUAAUCAAUUUGAAUAUAUGUUUUUAAAUAUAAUGAAUGCAUUGAAUAUUUAGUGGAAGACAUGAAAUAAAUGAAAUAGAAAAAUAACAACAUGCUACUAGAGAAUCGAUGUUGAAUUCCAAUAGCUAAUGUCACAUCAUUUGGAAAAAAUUGGUAGCUUUCCCGUGCAUCGCACGGGUUAGCGACUAGUUUA